AUUGAACGCUGGCGGCAGGCCUAACACAUGCAAGUCGAGCGAGCGGCGGACGGGUGAGUAAUGUCUGGGAAACUGCCUGAUGGUGGGGGAAAACUACUGGAAACGGUAGCUAAUACCGCAUCCCAUCAGAUGUGCCCAGAUGGGAGUAGCUAGUAGGUGGGGUAACGGCUCACCUAGGCGAGGGUCCCUAGCUGGUCUGCGUGGAUGACCAGCCACACUGUGACGGAGACACGGUCCAGACUCCUACGUGAGGCAGGUGGGGGUAAUAGUGCACAAUGGGCGCAAGCCUGAUUCAGCCAUUCCGCGUGUUUGAAGAAGGCCUUCGGGUUGUAAAGCACUUGCAUCGGGGAGGCGUUACCCUCAGAAGAAGGACCGGCUGACUCCGGGCCAGCAGCCGCGGUAGGAC
rnacentral:rRNA from 1 species